CUGCAUUCCUGCUUGAAAGAAACUUCUGUUUAAUAAUAUUUAAUUAAUGUUAUUUCUUUUUAGGGAUAUCUGGUAAAGCAAUUGCACUACUUUGUUCAAGGAUACCGUCUGAAUCAGGUUAAAAAGUUCAUCUGGAAGUGACAUAACCAUAAAAGAUAUCCCGUCAAAGCAGCAUGUCCUUACUUCUGCUUGUAUGCUAUGGCUGGGCAUUGUUCAUGGCUUUCCCAGCUUUUUUUUUUUUUUUUUGGCAGAAAUCCUGUGCAAUUAUAACCCAGCUAGAGACUAUCCUUUCUGUUCAACCUGUCACUGUAACACACUGCUAAAGCACUUUCAGCUGGCAAAUCAGAACACAAAGAUUUCCUGUGUUCAGCACAAUCUUUGCAAGAAAUCAUGGCAGUUUGCACAAACAGAGGUCCCUGGUGCAACAGGAGAUGUUUCAGAAAUUUAGGAGUGCCAUCCCUAAGAAGAAAGGGUCUUUAACUGCUUAUGGCUAGUGUGUCUUUAUCAGCUGAACAGGAACCUUCAUGACCAUUAGCCAGCAAAAAUUGCAACAACAUGCUAAAAGGAAAGCGCAGAUAAAAAUCAGUGCCAGCACGAUGAGACUGUUGCUGCCUCCUCAUAACAUUGCACAUCACUCAACUACUUAAAACAACAACAACAACAAACACAAAACCACCAAAUUCCUCUUUGGUCCUGACAUUUCAAAAUAACUCAACUUUGUACCAAGUAAUCAAGGAUCUGCCUCCUGCUCAGAGGCUCCAGAGGAGGGCUCUGUGAACUUUGCUCUGCUUUGAGAUGGCUCCCAGGCUACGAAUGCACUUCUCAUUCUGCAGCUGCAUUUCACAUUGACACGAAACAGAGAUGGUCAAACUGCCUUGUGGUGCCUGUCUGGGCCAAUAACUGCUGAUGGUGGUUUGUUGUUUCUCCAGCAAUAUUCAGAGGUGAUGUGCAAAGGGAAAGAAGUUAACCGUUUGACAAGGGAGAGCUUUAUUUACAGAGUGCUGCCAGGCAAAAAUUGGUUGAACUGUGUAAAAUAAUGUGCACUCAUUUUGAGAAGAGAUGAAAAGCUGUGACAUUGAUUGGCAGUGAACCUAUACAACAACACACAUCAAUGAGUAAUUGACUGCUUCCCUCACAUGAUUUUCUCCUUGCCUCACUCCUUAUGCACUUGAGCAAGCCACAAGUCAUAUUGAUGAAACAUGACAAAUGUAAAUAACUUCUGGAAAACCACGAGAUAUGAAACAGAGCUUGGGUGAGAGGGUCUUUAAAAUAAUAAUGGUGGUAGUAGUAGUAAUAAUAAUUCAGUGCCUUAUCCACAUAUCCACAGAAUCGCUAUCUUACACUGUACUGAGAGAGCAAUUUCCUUUGCAGGAAUCCAAACCAGAAAGGGAUCAGGGCUGUGCUGACACUGCAGAGGGGCAGCAGCAGACCUAGCUCAGUCUCCCUGUGCCCAUCUGUUUUCUCUGGUCCCAGAGCUGUUUGCAGACUCACUCCACAUUGCUACCUUGGGCAUUGUUCAGAUGUUUCUGGGGAUCUGGUUUGAGUUUUGAGAAAGUGAAAAACUUUUUUUUUUUUUUGGUCUUGCUUCUGCUGGCUUGGUUGCUUUUAAUUACUUUUCCAGCACGCAAGUAUUAGCUUUUCUCCCCUUACAAGAAGGAACAGUUCUCUUAAAAACCCAGCAGGAGCCUGUGCAGUUUUUAGCUAAAGCAGGUGUCUACAAAGGACCAAACCUUGCAGUUGCCCUGUGGGCUGGGAAGAUUUAGCUUGUGCUGAGGAGCUAAAGGACAGCCUUGGGCAGGACAGGGAGGACCUCAGGAAAACAAAGCCGCCAUCAACACAGUGUGCUCUGUGAUAAGUGAAGAUAACUCUCAGUCACAACGAUAGGUCUGGAGCCAAGCUCUUACAAAGUUUGGGCUGCUCAGGUUUCGGGUUUCUUCAUAAACAACUCCACAACAGAAAACGGUUGUCGUUUCUCUGUCACUGUUCUGGACCUGUAAUCUCAAACAUCCUGCUUUCGAGUAUGUUCACCUUACAGUUUUCCCUCUAUCCCUUGUAAACUAAGGGGCAGGGUGUUGGAGGGAGGGAAGCCUCACUUAAAUGAAAGCAUCUUUGAAUAUCGUCUAAGCCUUUCUUUGUCAUUGCCUGGGGCUUCCUCUGCUCUUGUCCCAGUUCGUUUCUGCACUUUGUUGGGGCAUGAGGCCCACAGCUGGCACGGAGGCUGGAAUAAAACAAUAGUGGCAAGGACGAAUUUCCA
rnacentral:lncRNA from 1 species